rnacentral:rRNA from 1 species
UAGGGAAUUUUGCGCAAUGGGGGAAACCCUGACGCAGCGACGCCGCGUGAGUGAUGAAGGCCUUCGGGUCGUAAAGCUCUGUCGUGGGGGACUAAGUUCUGAAGGUACCCCACAAGAAAGGACCGGCUAACUUCGUGCCAGCAGCCGCGGUAAGACGAGGGGUCCUAGCGUUGUUCGGAAUCAUUGGGCGUAAAGCGGGUGUAGGUGGUUCGACAAGUCAGAAGUGAAAGCCCUGGGCUCAACCCAGGAAGUGCUUUUGAAACUAACGAACUUGAGUAUCAGAGAGGGUAGUGGAAUACCUGGUGUAGUGGUGAAAUACGUAGAUAUCAGGUGGAACAUCGGUGGCGAAGGCGGCUACCUGGCUGAAUACUGACACUCAGACCCGAAAGCGUGGGGAGCAAACAGG